rnacentral:misc_RNA from 1 species
UUUUUUUCGUAACGGAAAUGUCUACCUAGAAACUAUAUUUAAUAAACUGGAACAUCAUUCAUUCUAACAAAUACCAAACCAAUGACCUCAAUUAUAAGAUCCGAAUACUAUAACCCAGAAGUUAAACAUAUAGUGGACGAGACUGGACAAUUUGGACCUAACGUACACAGUAGAUACAGCUAAUUGUGAAGUUUUACAGAGUUAUAUCUAUCUUGCGUUUACUAUCUCUAGUACAGGGAGAUAUGGGGACGAAAUCAAUUGACGGAGCGAAAUCGCCAGAUCGACUGUAGAACGGCAGGGAAAGAGCGACAGAAAAGUUACCAAGAAAACAAUAAAACUCUGAUUGCUACGAGCUUUAUAUCACAGUUGUACGAGCGACCAACCUGUUUAUGUACCGAUUCAUAUUGCAAAGGAUUAUGAGAUUGCAAAGCAAGUGCUCGUUGAAUCUCCAUGACAACGAAGCUGCGUCGUAAGGGCUGUAAACACAAUUGAAUUGCAAUGAUAAAAUAUAAUGAAGAAAGCAUAAAGGUUAUUCCAAUAAAAUAAGCGUAUUUAUAUGAAUUUGUAUACCUUGAUCUUUAAAAAAAAAACAGAAUAUCAAUUGGUGGUAUGAAAUCCUUCCUAUCAAAGUUCGAUUCACAUUCUACCUUGUUUUUUUUGAGUUCUUAUUCUACUUGGUCACGAG